rnacentral:tRNA from 1 species
CUUUGGUUAACUAAGUAUAAAGUUUUAGACUCUUAAUCUAAUUAUAUCAGUGAAAAUCUGUUACCAAAGG